UUGGCGGCCGCGCUUCCCCCGUCGGGGCGACGCUCGGACUGACGGUUAUAAAUGUUAAACAAAUCUGACCGGUUGGACCCGGUGCCGUACAAUUCCAUCUGCACAAAAAUACAGGUUACAAACAAAGGGAAGCAUCAGCAUUAAAAGAAAAGGGAGACAACAACAACAACAAAAAAAAAAAAAGGAGGAGGAAAGCAAACGAACAAAAACCCCGAACCGAACCCAACGCGACGUCCUCAGCUCCACGCAGCGCCGAUCCCGUGAAGUUGGAGCGGGCAGAAACACGCACACGGGGGGGGGGACGACGACCAGAAAACCCACCUUUUUACAACAAAAGGUUUUUCUUUCCGAAAAGGGAAAAAAAUAGAAGAAACGCUCUUAGGAAACGAACGGGACUGCGGGAGCCGAACCUCCUCCCAAAGCACGCCGGGUUUGCGGGGUUGGAAGGCCGACGCCAGAAGAGUUGAAGUUAAGGAAAGCAGCGGGGAGGGGGCGGCCCCGCUUUUCGCUCCCCCCGCUCGUGUGACCCCCAUAACCCCGCAGCAGCGCCGGGGAGGGGUUGAAGUCACACCGCACGCGUUUCUAUGGGGGAAGGGGGGGGAGAAAACAAAGUUGAAAUGUUUUCAUUUCUACCUCUUUUCUUUUUUCCUCCCCGUACAUCGCAAAGAGGCGCACAAAGCGGAGCUGCCGGGGGGUCCCGGAGUGGCCCCCGCCGCCGCCCGGCUCUCACGUGGCCCCGCGGCCGCCCCGGGCGGACACAAAGAGGAUUCGUCGUGGAGGUGUUUCGGGGGGUGCCAUUUUUCUGGUUGGUUUUUUAAUUAUGAUCUCUUCCCCCCCCCCCCCCUCCCGGUUUGUUUGCUUAAUUAUUAUUAAUUUGUUUUUUUUCCCUCUCUCUCUCUGCAAAAAUAAACUCCCAACAUCUUAGAUUUUGUUUCUUUAUUGUACAAUUUAUAAAACAU
ensembl:lncRNA